UCAGAACUAGCUCAAUGGGAGAGCACAAGACUCUUAAUCUUGAGGUUGAAGGUUCGACUCCUUCGUUCUGAACCG
rnacentral:tRNA from 1 species